CCUACGGGGGGCUGCAGUGGGGAAUAUUGGACAAUGGGGGGAACCCUGAUCCAGCCAUGCCGCGUGUGUGAAGAAGGCCCUCGGGUUGGAAAGCACUUUCAGUGAGGAAGAACGCCUGGUGGUUAAUACCCAUCAGGAAAGACAUCACUCACAGACGAAGCACCGGCUAACUCCGUGCCAGCAGCCGCGGUAAUACGGAGGGUGCGAGCGUUAAUCGGAAUUACUGGGCGUAAAGCGCGCGUAGGUGGCUUGAUAAGCCGGUUGUGAAAGCCCCGGGCUCAACCUGGGAACGGCAUCCGGAACUGUCAAGCUAGAGUGCAGGAGAGGAAGGUAGAAUUCCCGGUGUAGCGGUGAAAUGCGUAGAGAUCGGGAGGAAUACCAGUGGCGAAGGCGGCCUUCUGGACUGACACUGACACUGAGGUGCGAAAGCGUGGGUAGCAAACAGGAUUAGAUACCCUAGUAGUC
rnacentral:rRNA from 1 species